GUAGGGGGCAAGCGUUGUCCGGAAUCAUUGGGCGUAAAGCGCGCGUAGGCGGCCCGGUAAGUCCGCUGUGAAAGUCGGGGGCUCAACCCUCGGAUGCCGGUGGAUACUGUCGGGCUCGAGUGCGGAAGAGGCGAGUGGAAUUCCUGGUGUAGCGGUGAAAUGCGCAGAUAUCAGGAGGAACACCAAUUGCGAAGGCAGCUCGCUGGGACGUUACUGACGCUGAUGCGCGAAAGCGUGGGGAGCAAACAGGAUUAGAUACCCUGGUAGUCCACGCUGUAAACGAUGGGCACUAGGUGUGGGGGGUGUCGACUCCCUCCGUGCCGAAGCUAACGCAUUAAGUGCCCCGCCUGGGGAGUACGGCCGCAAGGCUA
rnacentral:rRNA from 1 species